CUCAUUGUCAUGUUCAAGAAACCCAUUUGAAAUGAUUUGAGCUUUGUGACAUGGUGCAUUAUCCUGCUGGAAGUAGCCAUCAGAGGAUGGGUACAUGGUGGUCAUAAAGGGAUGGACAUGGUCAGAAACAAUGCUCAGGUAGGCCGUGGCAUUUAAACGAUGCCCAAUUGGCACUAAAGGGCCUAAAGUGUGCCAAGAAAACAUCCCCCACACCAUUACACCACCCCCCUGCACAGUGGUAACAAGGCAUGAUGGAUCCAUGUUCUCAUUCUGUUUACGCCAAAUUCUGACUCUACCAUCUGAAUGUCUCAACAGAAAUCGCGACUCAUCAGACUAGGCAACAUUCUUCCAGUCUUCAACCGUCCUAUUUUGAUGACCGGGGUAACAGGAUAUGCCUUUCUGACCAGAUAAAGAUGUCAGCCCAAGUAGCUUCUGGAAUGGCUUAUCUGGAGUUAAAGAACUUCCUCCACAGGGACCUGUCUCCAAGGUGGCUGACUUUGGCCUCGCCAUGGUUGUUAAAGCUACGCCAAUGCCAUUUAACUGGACUAGUGUCUAUUACAGUGCAUACCUGUGGGGGAUGCCCUGUUCCCUUUGAGAUGGACAGCUCCCGAGGCAAUCGCCAGCAAGACGUUCACCAUCAAGGGUGACGUGUGGUCCUUCUUGUUGUAUAAGAUCAUGACUUUUGGUAAGAAGCCCUAUGCAAGUAAGAUUUUUAUAUUUACUUUGUCCACAUAGAAAUUCUGCACUAAGUGGAAAUGUCUUAGAGAUCUGGGGGCUUUUAAGUGGCGAGUCAAGACCGUUAUCAUAAAUUGUAUUCCACAAAAAAUAAAUAUAUAUCAACCGAGCAACAAUACACUGACACAACGGUCUGAGUUCUGCCAACAAACCUGAAAGUUUAUGCCCAAGAAUGGCAGAUAACCCCACUUCAGUACUGUGCUGUGUUUAGAGUAAUUGGACAGUAAGCAUUGGACAGUAAGCAAUUAUUUAUGGCUCAGCAUUCAAGUUUGGGGGACAACAAACAGUUACUAUAAGGUUCAAGUAUUGAUUCUUAGAUUUUAGUUGAGGGUAUUUGUGUAUGGAGGACUAAAUGUGCC
ensembl:lncRNA